GUAUGCGAGGGCGAUCUGACUGAGACAUCCGUCACCCCACUGCUCACCAGGGUUGACUUGGCUGAUGUAGGCUGGUGUCCCCUUCCCCCUUCACCGCUCCAUGUGUAUCCCUCCUGAAGCGCUUGGUGGAAGAGGACGGCCUUGCCUGUCUUAGGUGUGUGUGUGGGGGGGGGUGUAGUAGCUGCACUCCCCUGCCAGAACCCCCAGACAAGCUCCCCUCUAGUCUGCUGUUGGGCUCUUCCUGAUAUGUUAGGGUUUCCUCUUUGGCCUUCAGCUUUAGUGGUGGGUGACUUUUACUCAAGUGUGUGCAUGAAGGCCAGGCUGCUGUCA
rnacentral:snRNA from 1 species